UGAAUGGUUAAGGAGUAGUACAUUCUUUAUCCUCAUUAAAAACCUUGAAAUUUAAAUUUCAAUGAAUUUAUUAAUGAAGAUAUGAUAUUCUUAGCUCUCAAAAUGAAUGGGUAUUGUCACCCUAGUUCUCAUAUCUCCCUUCUUUGACCCUCUUCUCUUUGCACCCCUCCCCCCAAGUACGAAUGUUUAAGACUCAUUUCUUGGCUUUUUAUUUUUCUCACUUUCUGCCAUUUUCCUUGGAAACUUAUGUCUUAUGUUUAAUUUUCAAGUGUGUGAUUACUUCUGAAUCUACCUAUAUUCUUAACCUGUUUCCAAGCCCCAUUUCUGCACUACCAAUUAUUUACUAGGCAUUUCCAGUGAAUUUCCCACUAGUCUAGAAGUUUUGGUGUGCUCUAAACUAAGCUCUACCCUCCUCCCAUAAAACUGAUAUUUCCUUGGUAAUAAAUCAAGAUGGUCAUCUGCACUGGUCCACCUUCAGUGCUAUUUCAGGGAUGUGGAAAGGAUGUGGGACACACAUGAGUAUCCCUGCUACCUUCCUGCUGCUACCAGGUAUAUCAGUGAGACUGUGCCUUCAACAGUGACAGGAGCCCACUCGUGUAUAAAAACAACUUACUGGUAUAUCAUCCACACAUGCAGCCGUGGGCUGCUGCAUAAAUGAUGAUCAGGGUGAAUUGAGCUAGUGAAGCUCUACCAGUGAGGGUAGACUAGAUUAUGCUGCUGUAACAAAUACCAUCAAAAUCUCAGUGGCUGCCCUGGCUGGUAUGUCUGAGAAGGUUGGAACAUUGUCCUGUAAACCAAAGGGCUUCAGAUUCAAUUCCCAGUCUGGGCACAUACCUAAGUUGUUGGUUUGGUCCCUGAUCUGGGAGUGUAUGGUCCUGUGUCCCCAGGCACAUAUGGGAGGCAAACAAUUGAUGCUUCUCUCUUGCAUCGAUGUUUUUCUCUCUCCUUUCCUCUCUCUUAAAAAAAAAAACAAUGAGAGAAUGUCCUCAGGUGAGGAUAAAAAAACAAACAAAAGCUCAGUGACUUAAUACAACAAAAGUUAAUUUCCUGCUCCUGCAAAGCCUCCUAGGCAGCUCUUCUGGUGGCUCACUGUUUCAGCCUGCUUCAGUCCUGUGACCUCUCCAUGAGCACCAUGGCAAUGGGCUGGUAUGGAAAACUGCACUUGAAACUGUAAAUGCUUUCAUCUAGAUAUGACACAGAUCACUCCUCACAUUUCACUGGUUGAAGGAAGUCACAUGGUCACCACCUAACUUUCUGGGGGUCACCUUAUGAUUUAGCCAAGGUCAGCUGACUUCAGGCAUUGAUAUCUAAACUCUUCUCUGACACAGGAGCCGGGCAGUAUCUUCCAUCUUGAUUAUACCCUGAGGACACACCAACCACUAAUAAGUAAGGUUUCAUCAACACAAGAAAAUUUGCUCAUUUUGCUGACAUUGGUGGCCAUUCUCCACUUGAAGAGUGAAUAUGUGUCUAUGAAGAAUGAAAUAUUUCAAUGAGAUCAAAUCCCGUGUUUCCCCCCAUCAUUGUCUGAAUUAUGCUUUUGACAAGAAUUUUCUUGUUUUCAAGGGGAUGUUGAAAUGUAGUGUAAUGAGUAAAAACCAGUUCAUAAAUGAGGGGAAGAAAGUACUCAUAUCCAUCUGAAAAAAUAAAAUCAUGUUUUUCACCAAGUUUUUUGGCUGCUUCUUUAAAUGGUAGAGAUUCUGUCAACUGAACUUGCUUCUAACAUCUCCCACAACUUCAUGUGUUUAAAAGAGAUAAAGCACUGGUGAAUGCUGCUAGCUCUAAAAUGCUACAUAGAUAUAGGAUAUUAUAAUGUGUUGCUGGACACUGAUUAGUGCUUUUGAUCUCGAUAAUUUUAUGUUGUCUCUGCCCACAUCCAUCAGUGACUUCCUUUUAAAAACAAUGACCUCUUAUAAAACUGCUCCCAAAUAAAUAUUUUUACUUAACACCAGCAUCUGCCUAAAGCUAAUAUUCUGAGAGCUUCAAUCAUACAUUUCCACAAAUAUCUAAUGUGAGGUAUUAAAAAAGAGGCACAGUUUAUCAAUAUUUUAAACUGUAUGCUCAAAUAUUUUUCACUUUAUCUGGUUUAUUUUUAGCUUAGUCCUUGCUAAGCUGUGAUUUAUACUUAAGUAUAAAUCAUAACCUCAAGAGAUAUGCUGCAGUAAACCACUUUGAAUGUAUUGUAAUACCAUGUAGGACUGAGAUGAAAAUGUUCAUUUCCAAGAUACAACAGGAUUUAUCAAGAUGAGUAUUAAAGGUGGCAUAAGAUGACCACUUCACAGGAAUCAUGGCCUUGUGAUAACUCAAGUGUCUUGGCAUGGAGUGAAUGUUGAAAUAAGAAAACAAUGCCACCUUCAAAGCAUUGUUUGAGCUCUUCCAAGUAAAUAUUUAUGAUUUAUCUAAAAAGCAUCAUGUUUUUAUCAAUUAAGAAGAGACCUUAAAUGAAUCAACCAAGUCGUAAUUUCUAGCUAUGUCCAUUAGCAAAAACUGCCUCCAUAAGGAAACAGAAUAGCAGAGUGGGGAUAUGCUUAUUGUAUAAUAUAUAUUGGUGGAUACAUCAUAGGCUAUACUUCAUGUAUAGCAAAAGGAGCAGAAUGUUACCUUGGCUCAUUUAAGGAGUGUGGAGGCAUAAGGAAGCCAAACUUGGUAUUAGAGUGAAGGUGUCUAUAAUGAAGUUUGUGCUUCAGAAGAUGAUCUAGACUCCCACCGGAGUGGGCGAUGGGAGACAAGAGUGUAGAAGAUCAGCCAGGCGGCUAUUAUCCUGAUUCAGAGGGAAGCUGAUAAGGACCUAGUGAUGGAGAGGAAAGACCACCAAAACAUGUGGUUUGGUUUUCAGUAGGAGUGUGUG